GGGGGCGCACAGGCUUCGACGUGAGUGGUCAGCGUCCAAUGAGACGAGCCGAGUUUGCUGGAGACUCGUAAAACGCCGGCACCCAAGAUACACGCCGAUAAUGAUAUGGCUCUAGCUGCUUAAUUAAACAGUAGCUCAUCGGCCCGGGCGGCCUACGGCCCGGCCACCGGUGUCAUUUAGUAGGCUCACCUUCCGCGUCCUGGCUCCGGGGCGUUGAGGGGACAUUCAACGGGCUAGCCCCUCGGCGGUGCCCCGAUCCGUCGAGUGAGGCGAAACUAAAUCGGGAGCUACGCUCGUAGAAUCUCAUGGGCAGCGCGCUCGCGGACGCGGGUUCGAUUCCCGCCGCCUCCACUA
rnacentral:tmRNA from 1 species